rnacentral:rRNA from 1 species
UACAGAGACUGCAAGCGUUAUUCGGAUUCACUGGGCGUAAAGGGUGCGCAGGCGGCCAAGUGUGUGAGGCGUGAAAGCCCGGGGCUUAACCCCGGAAUUGCACCUCAAACUACAUGGCUAGAGCAUUGGAGAGGGUAGCGGAAUUCACGGUGUAGCAGUGAAAUGCGUAGAUAUCGUGAGGAACACCAGAGGCGAAGGCGGCUACCUGGACAAUUGCUGACGCUCAGGCACGAAAGCGUGGGGAGCAAGAGGG